CUCCCCCUCAUUCUCCUUCCUGCUCCCUCCAUCCCCCCAUGUCGCCGCCCCUCUUCUCCCCGCUCGCCCCGGCCGCCUCUCCUCCCCCCUGCGUCGUCGGCCCCUCCCUUCUCCUCCCUCCUCUAGCCUCCAGCCCUGCUCGUCCCGAGCCUGCGCCCACUCCCCGUCAUUCUCCUCCCCGCUCCCUCCAUCCUCUCCCAUGUCGCCGCAGUCUCUCCGCCUCCUCCUCCCGUCACCACGUCCUCCGCCAUGGAGCCUCGCCGCCGCGUGCGUCUCCCUUCUCCACCAUGCUGCCCUUCCACCUCGCCUUCCUCUCCUUUCCUCGAGAUGCUGCUAUCCUGCUCGUCACAUUGACUGCCGGCAAUGGGAGGAGACCUGGGGGAGCAGAGGAGGGUGGUGGAUGACGGGGUGAGGAGGCACGAGGGUCAGCACGAGGUGGGGGUAAGAGGAUGCAGCUGCGCUGGCUUCUCUCCCCGCGCCACCACGCCGCUUGUUCUUCCUCCUAAGGUCCAGAUCUGAAGCGGGAGAGACGCGCGCAAAGUGGCAGAAGAGGGCUGCAUCAGUGGUGGUCCGAGCGCUGCUGCCUCCGUCCCUGGCUCCCCGAACAAUCCUCAUCGCAUGCAGCCGCCGACUGAGCUCCGCCUCCUCAAUCUGCAUCCCUCUUCAUCGCGCAUGGCAACAGGGCGAGGGUUGUGAUGGGAACACCAGGAUGACAGCGAGAAGUGGACCUCUGAGCUGGCUGCCGGUCCUCUCAGGCUUACCUUGUGGCAAAGGAUUUCGGAGCCAUGCCAGCUUAUGAUUUUGUUCUUCGUCACCCCAACCGCACAUGCGGUGUUAUGUGUUUGGGUAUCCGUUUUCUUCAUGGUGGCUCCUCCUUCGAUUUCUCCGUUGGCCGAUCUGAUUUGAUGCUGAUUAUGUCCAUGGCCUUGUUGUGGUAACACCAUGGUCCGUGGGGAACAAGAAUACCACCUCUGCUACAACCGAAGUUUGGACCUCCACUGACAAUGACAUCUCUAGGGGGUGAGAGGCGGAUAACAAUACGAGAAGGAGCAUGGCAUCGAGGAGUGCAAGCAGCGGCACUCCUCCGCAAUGGGGUAUGGCUGCAGGGGAGGGGACGCGACCAAUGACAGGAAGAAGGAGCAGGUCGUCGAGGACUACAAGCAGCAAGUUUCCUUUGACUGGAAGUCUGAAACUGAAGAUAGGGCAUAUUGUUUUGGUUCUGACUGGCCGGAGAUAUUGUGGCUUGAUGUCCCUAGAGCAGUCGGACCCUUCCAAGAUAGAAGAUCUUUGGGAUUGACGUUCUGAUGAGAAAGUAGCAUACGGAUGGAUGGACAUGAACUAUUCAGUGGUCGAACUGCGCUAUAUUUAUUUCAUUGAGGCGAGGGUGAUUCCAGUAGAUUUUGCUUGGCAUACUCGCCUUUUUUAUUGAAGUUGGGUGUCCGUCUUCUCCGCGGCAAGGAUCUGGGGAGUCAGAUUGUGGAUUACAUGUAGUGGGGAAGUAGAGAGGGGGACGAGGAAGAGGACACCGUCGGUGGCGUGCUAUAUCUCACUAGGCGACAAUGUCGGGUUGAGGUGGUUUGAUCCUGGAUCUAUGCUGUCACGGCAACACAGGCCAAUACACAUUCAGGAAAUAUGUCACCAACUUCCCCAAGGUCCCGCAUCGUCUACUCAGGAUAUUCUGUGCCCCAAGCCCUACAGAAUAAUGCCCAAUUUCAGCAGUGGGCAUGACAUCCUCGAACUUCUCUCUUCAAUAUUGAAGAAGCGGCUUACUCAGAUCAAUAGGCAUGCACUUAGAAAAAUAGCUAAAGAGUACGAGAUAUUCCUAGAGUAAAUAAAGGGCAUGAUGUGCUCAUAAGUUAGACAGAAGCAAAAUGUCAUUUAUUAUGCUCCUAUUGUAUCCUCGGACAUUUUCUUCCACCUACCAAUACCCCAGUAUUGAAUAUCUACUUUCCCACCGUCGUACAAAAACUGAUGUUAGUAUUUGUGCAUACUCUUUGUCUUAA